AAAUUUUAUGUAUAAGCCAGU
rnacentral:miRNA from 1 species